GGAAACUCACAGUCCAGCAGGUCAGAAGACUGUGAUUUAUUAUAAAAUAAGUACCUGGAUGAUGUUUCUUUGUUUAGUCUUUCUUAACUCACAUGGGACUUCCUCUCUCAAACAAGGAUGGGAAGAGGACAACAAGGAACACACUGUGGGCUCUUCUCCAUCCCUCUCCCCAAGUUCACCCAAUGGAGAUUGGGUGUUUUACUAUAAGCUGACUCUGUCUCCCUAGUCUUGUAGCUCAGGAAGCUGGUGAUACAAAUUGAGGCCUUUCUAAUAAAGCACAGGGUAGCAUGACUUAAUAUUUCACAAUAUGUUUUAUAUGCUGGAUUGAUUGAUGUACCUUGUAAAUUAAGUCUGAAUUGUCAGUUUUUAAAAGUCAUCUAAGGAGACAUUUGUUUUGCAUACAUAGCACUUUGAUUACCUAAAAUAUUUUAAAACUGAAAUCGUAUUUAUUUAAGCAUAUCACUAAAAACUAAGUAUUUUGAAAUGGCAAUUGAGGCACUUGCUCUUUAGUUUUCACAUUGGUUGUCCUGGUUGCAGUCUUAGCUUCUGGGUCUACCUCCUUUGGCUUUCUAGCCUCAUGAAUGUUUUUUAGUUCACUGAACAUGUUUGAUUUGUGUGGUCUGCACGUGGUCAUUGCUCAGGUUGCCGUAGUUUCCUGAGUGCUGGCCUUCAGUCAGAGCCUCCUCAAUCAGCCCCACCCUGCGUCCUAGAAAGGGGAGAGAGGGGUCCAGCCUGCCCUGCACAGAGACCUGCAAUUCUUGACGUUGAGGAAAAGUACUGUUAAGGCCUAAUCUGCUAACAUUUUAAGUUAGGGGUUGGUUCAUCCCCUCAGUUCUGUCUCUGUGCCCUGAAAUCCUAUUUGGAAUGAAGAAUGGGUGUGUAUGGAGAAGCUCUUGCCUUUACUUUACCAUCAUUAGGUGCUGGUAUCUGGUGAUCUGCUGACACAGUCUAUCCUGACACAGUUUUGGCUUCGAUGACAUAUAUAAAAUAGGUUCCUCCUCUGACCUGGACUAAAAAUGCUUAUAUUCCCCAUAGAGAACUUUGAAUUGGUUUGGGGUAUCUGCAGCUACUCUGUUAGUUAUAAGCUCAGCUUAAUUUCAGAGGCAGUAAAAACACCAGAGCAAUACUUUAAACUUCAGCAGUGGCUUUGAGGUAGGGUUAGCCUUAAUUUUAUGGGCAAAUGGAUUGCUCAAUACAAAGGGAACUAAUUCUAAUGAUGUUAAUUUUACAGUGACAUGUUCCUUAAUGUGAAAUAAUGCUUAUACCAUAACUUAAGGGGAGAAAAUGGAUUAGAGAAAAUCUGUGACCAAGUUCUUGUUUCAGAUAAAAAUAAAAAAUGCCUCAAAGUUUAAAACUUAUGUUCUUUGGAAAAACAAUUCUUAUGUUCCACUCAGAGGCUUUGGUCAUGGCUUUUAUGGUCAUUAACCUAGUUUACUUUUAUGGAAUGUUGGUAUCUGCUGGUAACAUAGUGCCAACUGAUCUCAAAGUGGGUGGGAUUUUUCUUUGUGUCCAAAAAUAGAGGUAUUUGGUAUUUGAAAGAGAAAAUUGGAGAAGUUCAAAUGGAAUGGUAGGUGGAGGAGUUGGAGAAGGAAAGCAGGGAAGAAUGCAGAGCUGUUCUCCUCCCUCCUCCACCCCCAAAACAGCUCAGCAGACACAGGUGGCUGUUUAUGAGAAGUAUGGUUUCACUCUUUCAUGUGAAAGAACUAGACUAGUUUAGAAUUAUGUCCUUAGAUUGCUUUUUCUAGAAAUGAUUUUUCUUUUUGGUACUUAGGCAAGAAACGGGAUUUCUUUUAUACAUAAGUUGUGUGGAUGAAGCUGUACACAAUAUUAUCUCAUUAAUCAUUUCUACUGGAGUAUUUUAAAUUUUAAUUAUUUUGAUGAACAGGUUUGCACUAAAGUUACCUGUGGAUAGAUAUAUUAGAGGCAAUUUUAAUAUUAUUUAAAACACAAUAUUUUAUCAGAGGAUUAACUAACUGAUCAAUACAUCAAUUAUUGAUCAUUAUGAAAUAGCCAGUUUGUUGAAAGUUGAGGUUUUUACUGAAACUGGAUCUCGAGAAUUUCAUAAUUUAGAAAAAUAAUUCCAUGUCAUUGCUUUGUAGAUUGCAAGUCAUAGCUACCCUUGUCUAUGGUACAUAGGUGAAAAUUAUCUUUUAUAUUUACCAUAUCACAGUACUCAAUAAUAAAAAAAACACAUUGUUAAAGUAUGUCCCUGUGAUUAGUGUCUUCUAACUUAAUUCUGUUCAUGCUCUUGGGCAUGUAAAAAAGAAAUAACUACUAGUGAUAGCUGUUUGAGGAAUCUUGAGGAAUGUGAGCAUCUUUUAUGUUUAUCAAAAAAGGCUUUUCAAUUGAUGUUCUGUUGUUUGAUUAGACAUAUAUGUGAUUGUCUGACAAGCUAAGUAGUACACAAUUUAGGUUAGGAAAAUAGGGUAGAAAAGGAGAAAUAAUUGAUUUAGUUAGUAUACUUAUGGCGAGGAUUGAAAAGCUGAUUUCAUUUAAUGAAAAACAAAUCACUCAGUGGUACAUAAUUGAAGUGUAGACUCAACAGAAGUACUCCCUGGUACUUAUAAACAUAAAACAUUUAAAAUGAUAAAUAACUGUGACUGUUCCUAGGGAAUGAUCAUGAACUAGAGUUUAGUCAUCUACCUCAAAGAGGAAUGUGAUCUAAUAAAGUUAUGCUCACUGAAUUGGUAUUUCAGUUCAUCUUUUUUUUUAGUGCCUACUGGUUGCCAGGCAUUUUACAAUGAAAAGUAGUAUAUUGAGAGAUGAAUAACACCUCAUCUUGCCUUCCAGGAGCUUCUUGUUUAAUAGGGGGGAAAAAAAGGGUGAAUAGGCCAUUUUAAUAUACUGCAGUAAACACUGUGAUAAAGUUAUGUACACAUUACCAGUUGGACAGUCUGGGGCAGGAAAGCAGAGGGAUUUGAGGGAAAGAUGGUCCCUGAGGUCCACCUGUGUCACACUGGGUAGAGGUGAAAUCUCUGGCAGUGGGUUGUUAUAGGGCAAAUGUGGGUAGGCUGUUGAGGCUGACUUGGUUUCUGGUGUCACUGCCUUACCUACUUGUGCCCUUAGGCAAGUUACUUACCUUGCUAAAUUGGUUUCUUCAUCUAUGGAUUAGGGACAGAAGUAAAAAUACCGACCUUACAAGGCAGUUAUGAAGACCAGAGAGAUAAUGUAAACAGGGAACAAGCAGAAUAUGCUAAUAGUUAACAUUCUUGGCACUUAGCUUGUGACUUCAGGGUAAUUACUUAUCUCUCUAUACUUUGUAUUUAUCAUGUGUAAAAGGGAAUAAUAGUAGUUUCUUUGACGUAGGGUAAGCAUAAGGAUUAAGUGAAUUAAAAUAGGUAAAGCCCUUAAGACAGUGCCUAGUACAUGGUAAAAUUAGUUAUUAUUUUAAUUAUUAUUCUUGCAAUAGAAGAGGUUAACCCUGCCUCUCAGCGAUUCUGGUGGAACCUUUUCUGCAUUACUCAUUUUACAGUGUUCUCAACAUAAGGACUUUAUGUAGUUAUAAUGGCUUAAUAAAAAUUGUAUGUUGUUGGAUCGCUAUUAGUGAUGAGUGUCAAGAAUUGGAGUGACUUAUUAACUGCAGGUAGGAACAUGUGGUGCUCCAUAUUAGCUCACACUUGAGGCUGAAUUGUUUGGAAAUGACUCUUUGAUAUUCAGAUCAUAUACUCUGGCUGCAGAAAGUUGUUUUAUUGAACAAUGAUUAAGAUGCUGCCCUUUGAAUCAUCAUUAAUAAAUUGUUGAUUAAAACCUUCACUCUGGAGUGUCUGCUACUGUCCCUUCAGCAGGCCACUUAUAAGGGAAAUGCCAUCCUUUUCUUGUGAGGGCUAUGUAGUGUUGGUGGUUGGUGUCAGCUUUCUCCAGAUUCUUUUUCCUUUCCUAGGAAACAGUAAAAUCCAGAUCUAUUUUGUUUAGACAGUUACAGCAAGUAAGUAGCCAUCUCUGAUACCUAUUCUUUUUUUAGUAGCAAAUUAUAAUGCUUCCCCUUUGAUGUCUUCUUGUGGUGAAAAGUGUAGCUGAUUUAUACUAUAUUACAGUAUAGAUGAUUUCAGUGUUGUGCCAGUUUCUGCUGUACAGCAAAGUGACCGCCAUACACAUUUUUUUUUUUUUGUCUUUUUAGGGCUGCACCCGAGGAAUAUGCAAAUGGAGGUUCUCAGGCGAGGGGUCUAAUAGGAGCUGUAUCCACUGGAGCUGUAUGCCACAGCCACAGCAAUGCCAGAUCUGAGCCAAGUCUGCCACCUAUACCACAACUGACUGCCUGCUUCUUAACCCACUGAGUGAGGCCAGGGAUUGAACCCAUCCUCAUGAAUGCUAGUCACAUUUGUUACCACUGAGCUAUGGUGGGAAGUCGACGCAUUCUCUUUUUAAUAUUAUUUUCCACCUUGGUCUGUCCCAAGAAAUUGGAUAUAGUUGCCUAUGCUAUAUAGUAGGACCUCAUUGCUUAUCCAUUCUAAAUGUACAAGUUUGCAUCUACCAACCCCAAACUCCCAGUCCAUCCCAUUCCUUUGCCUUUCCCCCUUGGCAACCUCAAGUCUGUUCUCCAUGACCUCACUUAGUAUGAUAAUCUCUAGGUCCAUUCAUGUUGCUGCAGAUGACAUUAUUUAAUUCUUUUUUAUGUCUGAGUAGUAUUCCAUUGUAUAUAUGUACCAUAUCUUCCUAAUCUGUUGAUGGACAUUUAGGUUGUUUCCAUGUCUUGGCUGUUGUGAAUAAGGUUGCAGUAAACAUAGGGGUGUGUGUAUCUUUUUGAAUUAUAGUUUUGUCUGGAUACAUGCCCAGGAGUAGAAUUGCUGGAUCAUAUAGAGUUUUAUAUUUAUAGUUUUCUGAGGAAACUCUGUACUGUUUUCCAUAGUGGUUGUACCAAUUUAUAUCCCCACCAACAGUGUAGGAGGGUUCCCUUAUCUCCACACCCUCUCCAGCGUUUGUUCUUUGGAGACUUAUUAAUGAUGUUCAUUCUGACUGGUGUGAUGUAAUACCUCGUAGUAGUUUUGAUUUGCAUUCUUUGCAUUUCUCUAAUAAUUAGUGAUGUGGAGCAUCUUUUCACGUGCCUAUUGUCCAUCUGUAUGUCUUCUUUGGGGAAAUAUCUAUUUAGAUAUUCUACUAAUUUUUCAGUUAGGUUGUUUUUUUGUUGUUGUUGAUUCGUACGCAUUGUUUGUAUAUUUUGGAGAUUAGGCCCUUGUCAGGUGCAUUGUUUGCAACUAUUUUCUCCCAUUCUGUAGGUUGUCUUUUCAGUUUUUUAGUUUUUGUUUUUGUUUUUUUAUGGUUUCCUUUGCUGUGUCUUUGGGCAUAUUUUAAUUCCCGUCUCCUUGGGAUGUCUAACAAAAAGCUUUAUUUCAUCUGAAUUCCACUGGAUCAUCAUAUUGCAUAUAUGAAAGAAAAUGGGUUUAUAACAACACUAAAAAACAGUAUGAAGCAACAUUGCUUAUUAAAUGUCUACUAUAUAUACCAGCCACAGUGUUAGGCAUUUUAGUGUAUAAUCUCAUCUCUAAAUCAUUUAAGAACAUUGUGAGAUAGCCCUCCGCAGCAAUUUUUUUUUAAACUGGAUGUUUAUUCAAAGGUGACUUGAAGCUGUAUUUGCAUAAUAAGAACUCUGCAGGAAAGGGAGGGAGCUGUAGGAAAUUAUGGGGGAGGAGUAUGACUGAAGUCCUCCAAGCUGUCCCUUGAGGUCAACCCUCUUGUGCUCUCCAGGGACCAGAAAAUCGUCAUGAGAAAUGAGUCCUUUAGAUUAAGCCUUCCCAUCUUUGGGAGCCCUGCUUAAAAUGCAAAUGUACUUGAGGAGUAAUUGAUUGAAUAAGAAGUCAGUCAUGAAAUUAUCUUUGAAUGGAGCAGAAUGAAGUGAGCGCUCAAGUGACUUUUUAAGGGAGAUGAAGAAGAAAUGGUGGAAGUUUUCCUGCUUAGUGGUAGUUCCUAAGGAAUUAACUGGAGGUAGAAUGGGGGACCUAGGGAGAGAAAAAUCGGGUGGGGAGGAAGAAUGGGAAAGGGAAGAGGGCCUGAGGCCCCUUGCUCAUAUUUACAUUGGGACCCCAAGUUAUGAAGGAAGUCCUGCUUGGCUCUGAUCCCUCCCUCAGACAGUGCUUUGGUUCCCAUUGGUCCUUUGUUGUGUGUUCCAGGAAUGACUCUCAGCCCCAUGCACAGGCUCAGCAGUGGGUGCUGUAGCUGUAGGGUGGGAGCCAGCAAAUCUGUUACCGAGUUGCCUGGUAGGUGCAGGGGACAGGGAUAGAGAAGUUGUCCCUGGAUGGCAGCCCUUGAAGUAAAUGUAGUGUGUAUGUGUGCUUUCACCCUACUGUACACCCCCCUGGGCUGGAGAGAGGUUUAUGAAUGGGUAGAGGUUAAGAAAAUACCAUAGGAGUUCCUGUCAAGGCUCAGCGGAAACUAUUACCUAUGAGGACAUGGGUUUGAUCCCUGGCCUCGCUCAGUGGGUUAAGGAUCUGGCAUUGCCAUGAGCUGUGGUGUAGGUCGCAGGCGUGGCUCAGAUCUGGCAUUGCUGUGGCUGGGGUGUAGGCCAGUGGCUACAGCUCUGAUUUGACCCCUAGCCUGGGAACCUCCAUAUGCCUCUAUAUGAGGGGUGAGGCCCUAAAAAAGACCAAAAAAAAAAAAAAAAAAAAA
ensembl:lncRNA